GAGCUAGCUCACCGCCAAGGGCAUGUGGCUCCGUGUCAAGCCCCUACUGGGCCUCCAUUUUAAUACUACCACCACCCUUAUCUCUUGCAGCAACCCCACCCCCCGGCCUGUCUCCUGAUCCCCCAAUUUUGGACCAAAACCACCGCGCUGGCCGGGGCUGUCACGCCAGCUAGUAGCUUGCAGGCCUAGCUAUUAUACUCAGUGGGCGAUCGAGACGCCACAGCCAGCGAUGCGCCGAUCUAGCUGCAGUAUGCCGAGCGAUCGACCACCUCGCCGUAGCCAGAGCGCGGCCGGGGGGCGAGCAGCCGGUAGAUCGAUCGUCGAGCACUCGAGCCCGUCCGGUUCGGGCUCGCCUGGUGCUGGCCUGCUUGGCCCACCUUGCCUAUAAAAUCAGCACACGGCCGACUUGUAGAGGAGUAGGCAGUGCGGCGCCUCUUGUACUGGAUGGUGGUUUUCCCUCCAUUGGCCUUGUACGACGCCUUCAGCUCAUCUUUCCCGAGGAGCCCUAUUCCCUUCCCGAGGAGCCCUAUUCCAAUUAGGGGUACCUUUUCUGUUCCCUUUCUUGGGAAGGGAAUGCAUUCAGCAUUCAUUGCGCCAUUGAUGCAUCGCAGGAUUGCAGGAACCGUCGCAUGAAUCUACUACUGAUUAAGUGAUGAGCGCACUGCUCCUCCAUCUCCAUGGACUACAUACAGUUCAGCCAAAGCAGCAGAUCAGUACGUUCACAUGCAAGUGGACCAGAAGAGAUACUGGCUGCGCAGGCAGGAGAGGAGGGCCGGAGAGAGAGGCGAGCUUAAUUAGCAUGAUGGUGGAUGGCACACAUAUAUGUACACACCACGGCCACACAGAUCCGCUGCUGCCAUAUUUUUGCCUUAUAAUCAUCAUCAGGUCAGUUAUCUUCCGCGUGUGCUGUCCCCCUGUCCUUUCUGUUCUUCGUAUGUCCUUUUUCUCUUCUUCGGAAUUUACCGCAGCACUACUACCUCACAUCACAUCACAAUAUCGGUGCAACGAUACAUUUGUCCCCUCGAUGUGGUUCCAGAAAUGUAGGUUAUCCUGUUGAGCCACUGUUCCAUUGAUGGCGCUCGUACAUGCUGCCGUCAGAAUCUCUCGCCCCACAUGCAUGUUUGACUCGCGGUAGGGCUCCUGUGAAGAGGAAGAAACUUUUGUUCAGAUAAGAUUCUAGUUGGACCAAGUCUUUAUACUAGUAGCUAGCUAGAUAGAAAUAUGAAUUUUACAAUUUUAAAAGCCUGAAAUUUGGAUUCUAUUGAGCAGAUGUUUUUUGGAAGUCAUAAUGUGAUUACUGUAAUCUUCUUGCAAAGUUGAUGCUUUGGAUUUUUCCUCCACAAUGAUCCCAGCGUGCACGCAUUGUACUGUACUGAAUUAAGCCUGUUGACUUGUUUAUAUUGAUCUUUUUGUUGGCAUAUUCGAAUUAUGAGAGUUAAUUUCCCCUGCAAAAUCAUGGAUAGUACACAGCUUCACAAAAUUCCAGUUUUUCCAUAGUCUAGUAUAGCUGAUUUCUGGGAUCAAAUUCUUGAUGUGUAGUAAUCGCAUGCAUUUUUGUUUUCAAAAAGAAGAGCCAUGGGCAUACAUGCUUUGUAUGGUAAAACUAUUUAACUUUGACCUAACUAAGCUGCAAUAUAGUAUUGCAUGCUUUACUUUCAUGCAGCGUUACAAAUUUAAACAGCCUGUCAUCAUGUGCAUGCAAGUCUAAAUUUUUGUGAUUAGUAUGUUGCCUAGACAUUAAUUGCAGUUAUCUUUCUGGAAAAUUUACAUGCAGGUAGAUCACACCUUACUGAUGCAAAGUCGAAGAUUCUCUUGCUACCAUCCAAUUAACAAUGAUCGAUCGAUGCAUGCAUACAUAUCACGGGUACUUGUUUAUAAAUUGUUCCAUAGCAUGCGUGUGACCCCGGCCGGUUAUCUGUACGACGAUCACUUUGCUGCAUCCCCAUUGCCCAACUAGAGAAAACUUAUCCAUCACAAUAAUGUCAAUUAAUUGUUAUAUAUACUCAAUUACUCACUCCUUACGUAAAUAGAUGACCUAUUUAGUCUGAAACGUGUAUUUUGACCGUUACUACUUCUUGUACACAUAUAUGUUAACAAAAAAAAAUGAUUGUGGUGGGAGAUAUUGAAUAGAAUCUUUUCCCUCUUACAUACUCCCUCUGUUUCAAAACCGUGCAUCUUGAAUGUUCAAGUCUGAGCUUUCUAAUGCAAAAAAAUGCUUGCAACAUUUUUUAAAUAUUUAAAAAAACCACAGGUAAUUAAAAGAAAGUGCUUUUGAAGACGAUGAAUGGUGCUUACUAAUUUCAUUAUAUAUUUGACGGCGCCGUGUUAUAGAUUAUUUACUUCAUUCAAUAAAUUAUAUUAUUUGGUUUCAACAAAGAUGCUUCCAAUUAAGUUAUGUAUCCAUAUUAAUUUUGAUCUGUAACAAACUAAGUGCUUCGGAAAGGCUACCGUGUUGCCAAACAAACCCAAUUUAUCAAUUAUUAUUAAUUUAAUAAAAUUUUGGGCUAAAUAGUACGUAUAUGGACACUUAUAUUUAUAUAAUAACAUUGUUUAUCUUCACAGCACCAUUCAAUUACAUUUUUCAAUCCAUGAGAUUUUAUGUGCCACUCAGAAGCUGAUUUUAAGAGUAUGUGUCUUGGUAAAGUUUUGGUAUUUAAUCUUUUUUAGCAUGUCUCCGAAGGGACCUCUUUUGGCAUUUACUCCCUCUAGUCUUAAAAAACAUGACAGUGCAUGACACGGUCUUCUAAACUUAAGUAUUUGACUAUUAUUAAUAUUACAAUACAACUAUAAAAUAUAAACAUCUUGGUACAUUUUGGAAGUCUUUUUGAGACAAAUCUUUACAUAUAAUUUUCACACAUUCAUUUAAAAAUUUAAAAGUACAUUGGUGGUCAAUGUUUUUAUUAAACUUUGACCAGCACUGCCUGUAAUCUCUUUUUUUCGAUUCUUUAAAUAAAUAAAGAUUUUACUUGCAUGUUUAAUACAUCAUGAUUUUGUAUAUUCCAUUCAGUAGCAAGCUUUCAGUACAACACGAACUGAUGUACUCUUGGGGCAAAUAGCCUAUAAAUUCAUCGAAAAAAGGCUAUGUCUUGGAUUUGCAGAUGCAUGUGAUCGAUCAUAUGAAACUAAUCAAGGGUGUCCACUCUGCUUAGAAGUCUACAGUUUGAACUAAAACCAUAGGAAACAAUUCAAUCUAUAUUGAGGUACUAAAGGUAUUGUCUCUUAUGCGUGUUCAGAAAUCCAUGUACAUUCAAGUUACACAAAAGCCAAGUGCACAUCAGCUGGUUAGACAUAUCACGUAUGCGAUUCACACAUGUAUGCCAAGAUUUAAUCAAUAUAUAUAUAUGAAUAUGCGUCAGGAAGUAAUAUUAAUAGGGGUAAAAUUAGAAAUGCAAUCGCAAAUAUAUGGUGAGUUCUUCACUUCUUUAAUUAAGGUGCAUGUUUUUCAUUAAUUAGCUCUAUAUGUGAAACAGUGGAGUGCUCUGGCCAUGUAGGGGAUUUGGGCAUCUACUUUAGUUUAUUACCUCUUUGAAUUGUUGGAAUUUCAUAUGAUUCUUACAUGAUUCCAAUUCUUAGCGGAGUAGUUUUCUUACAAAUGCCCUUGAACAUCCAGUUUACACUGUUCCAUCAAAACGACUAUUUUUGCAGUUUUUCUACAUUUUACAGUUACAUUCCUUCCGAAUUUCUGUAUUUUCCUAUAUUUUCCUACCAAUUCGUGAGGUCCAAAGAGGUCCUAAAUGAGUUAAUUCUGUUGUUGCCUCUGUUGUCCAUCCUCAGCGUCUGAUCAGAAAUCAAUUUUUGAGAUGAAUAUAGGUGACAGAAAUUUUUACCCCUUUGGUACAUGUUGAACUGCAUGCAGCGACGAGUACGAAUCCAAGAAAAACAUGCACUUUGUAUGUAAAUUAAACUGUUAUAUAUUAUCAAUUUAAUUAUUCUGUCCUGAUAGGUAACUCGUUCUUAUUUUUUAUCUGCGGUAAAUAUUUCUUUUAAAUAUUUUGUAUCCAUAUCCUUUGCGUCAUUGUCUUGCCUUCUCAUGCUUCCACCCUCUCCUUCUUCAUCCUCACUAAAAAUUUGAGUCGAGGAAGUUGACCACAGGGUGUUGCCAUUGUUGAUGCGGAAGCUUCUGAAACAAAUGAAAUGGUGUUUUGCUUUCAUCAAGCAAUUCCAAAAAUGGGAGUCUCAGGGCUUCCAUUCGACUUAGGGUAGGCAUUUGGACCAAAGUAUUUGUUACACAACAGAGAAUGCCACAUUCCAUCUUUCAUAAGGAACUUAAAAGGCCACUUAGUGAGCAAUGAGAUAUUUUUGGCAUCGAGAUUCUGGAUACCUAAUCCUCUGUGGUUCUUGAGGUGACAAAUGACAUUCCACCUUGUGACGCGAAACUUCUUUUUUAUCGUAGCCUACUUAGGUUGAUCAAAUAAUCCAAAACAAAUUGCUAGCGAAAGGCUAAAUCCAAUUUCUGAAUAAUAAGAAAAAAUCUCUCUUAAAAAUUAUGUGCAUGGAAAUUUCUGCUUAUCGAGAAGGGCCUAUCUUUUUUACUUUAUGUUGAGUCACCAUUCUUUCUAUAUUCAGGGUUCAAGACGAAGUUAUUAAAUUACUUUAUACUUUGCUUCUUGAUUAUUUCCUUUUGCAUCAUUUAACUUGUUGCUAUGUGAACUGAUAAACUGUAUGCAUGGCCACUUUUCUUUAACAUAGGAUGAUACCUUCUAAUCAUGAUGGAAACUUUAGCUUCUUAAGUAAUGAAGAAUCAUGUAUGGAAAAUUUCCAAUGCUUGUAUUGUUACUCACUUGGGAUUAUUAGCAUAACAGGGAAAUAUGAUGAUUCUUUACAACUUAUCAUCCUACUUGCUCAAGAAGGAAUAAGGAUCAAGCUUGGGGACAUUGAUACAUUGAAAUGUGCUAGUUCAUUUUGAAGUUUAAUGUUAUUUUUCUGUAAAGUCAAUUAUUUUGAGGACCAAAAUUUUCUAGUAGAAUCCAAAAUUUUCUUUCUUUCUGUGAUUGCAUACAGGAAAUUUCUCAGAAUUGGACAAAACUUGGCAGGUGAGAUAUACAUGGAAGGAUGAAGAUAUUGUGCGAAGAUGCCGAUCAGGGCCCCUAGCCAGGGUGGCUUAAGGUGGUGUCUUGGUAGCCGCUAAGCCAAACCGCCCUGGGCUAGUAAAUUAUCUAGGCCAUGUAGGAUAUAUAAUUGUAUAUAUAUGUGGGGAAUGGUUCAGUGUCAGUGUUGUUAUCUCCUACACCUUAUGCUAGGAUUUGUGUUUUACUUCGGGAAUUAUGAGACCCAUGUACUCAAUGCAUUUGUCUCUCAAGUUAUAAUAUCUCCAUACGGAUUAGAACGAUCGAGUCAAGUAGCUAGGGUUGUGAUAUGUUUGCAUUGACUUUAGGCCUCACAUAUAUUUGAUAUCAAUUGCAUUGACUUCCUGGAGUUUAA